rnacentral:rRNA from 1 species
AUUGAACGCUGGCGGCAGGCCUAACACAUGCAAGUCGAACGGUAACAGGAAACAGCUUGCUGUUUCGCUGACGAGUGGCGGGCGUGUGAGUAAUGUCUGUGAAACUGCCUGAUGGAGGGGGAUAACUACUGGAAGCGGUAACUACUACCGCACAUCGUGGCAAGACCAAAGAGGGUGGCCCCCGGGCCUCUUGCCUUAGGCUGUGUCCGGAUGGGAUUAGCUUGUUGGUGGGGUAAAGGCUCACCAAGGCGACGAUCCCUAGCUGGUCUGAGAGGAUGACCAGCCACACUGGAACUGAGACACGGUCCAGACUCCUACGGGAGGCAGCAGUGGGGAAUAUUGCACAAUGGGCGCAAGCCUGAUGCAGCCAUGCCGCGUGUAUGAAGAAGGCCUUCGGGUUGUAAAGUACUUUAAGCGGGGAGGAAGGGAGUAAAGUUAAUACCUUGGCUCAUUGACGUUACCCGCAGAAGAAGCACCGGCUAACUCCGUG